AGGCAAAUGGUAAAAGAAUGGGGUGUA
rnacentral:piRNA from 1 species